rnacentral:rRNA from 1 species
CCCUUAGAUGUUCUCGGCCGCACACGCGCUACACUGAAAGAGGCAACGUGUUUGCCUGAUUCGAAAGAAUUGGGUAACCCCCUAAUCUCUUUCGUGCUGGGGAUUGAGGUUUGCAAUUAUCCUUCAUGAACGAGGAAUUCCCAGUAAGUGCGAGUCAUUAUCUCGCGCUGACUACAUCCCUGCCCUUUGUACACACCGCCCGUCGCUACUACCGAUUGAAUGAUUUAGUGAGGACUUCGGACUGAGUCCAAUGCGGCUUUCGGGCUGCGUUGGUAUUUCGGAAAGAUGUCCAAACUGUAUCAUUUAGAGGAAGUAAAAGUCGUAACA